rnacentral:rRNA from 1 species
UACGAAGGGUGCAAGCGUUAAUCGGAAUUACUGGGCGUAAAGCGCGCGUAGGUGGUUCGUUAAGUUGGAUGUGAAAGCCCCGGGCUCAACCUGGGAACUGCAUCCAAAACUGGCGAGCUAGAGUACGGUAGAGGGUGGUGGAAUUUCCUGUGUAGCGGUGAAAUGCGUAGAUAUAGGAAGGAACACCAGUGGCGAAGGCGACCACCUGGACUGAUACUGAAACUGAGGUGCGAAAGCGGGGGGAGCAAACAGGAUUCGAUACCCGUGUAGUCC